rnacentral:rRNA from 1 species
CAGCAGCCGCGGGAAUACGUAGGGUGCGAGCGUUAAUCGGAAUUACUGGGCGUAAAGCGUGCGCAGGCGGUUGUGUAAGACAGGUGUGAAAUCCCCAGGCUUAACCUGGGAACUGCGCUUGUGACUGCACAGCUAGAGUAUGGCAGAGGGGGGUGGAAUUCCACGUGUAGCAGUGAAAUGCGUAGAGAUGUGGAGGAACACCGAUGGCGAAGGCAGCCCCCUGGGCCAAUACUGACGCUCAUGCAUGAAAGCGUGGGGAGCAAACAGGAUUAGAUACCCGCGUAGUCCCUGUCUCUUAUAA